rnacentral:rRNA from 1 species
GACGAACGCUGGCGGCGUGCUUAACACAUGCAAGUCGAACGGAAAGGCCCUGCUUUUGUGGGGUGCUCGAGUGGCGAACGGGUGAGUAACACGUGAGUAACCUGCCCUUGACUUUGGGAUAACUUCAGGAAACUGGGGCUAAUACCGGAUAGGAGCUCCUGCUGCAUGGUGGGGUUGGAAAGUUUCGGCGGUUGGGGAUGGACUCGCGGCUUAUCAGCUUGUUGGUGGGGUAGUGGCUUACCAAGGCUUUGACGGGUAGCCGGCCUGGGAGGGUGACCGGCCACAUUGGGACUGAGAUACGGCCCAGACUCCUACGGGAGGCAGCGGUGGGGAAUAUUGAACAAUGGGCGGAAGCCUGAUGAAGAAACGCCGCGUGCGGGAUGACGGCCUUCGGGUUGUAAACCGCUUUCGCAUGUGACGAAGCGUGAGUGACGGUAAUGGGUAAAGAAGCACCGGCUAACUACGUG